AGGCAAUGUUCCUCUUCUGAGACCCCUCCUAUCUAUCUGCCUAACCAGCCUCUACCUGCCUCCUCUCUCAUUCCAGUGGUGACCCUAAUUGCCAUUAGAGGGAGAGGGUAGAUGACCGCUCAGGCUUCUUCAAGCUGUGAGAGGGCAUUGUUACUGUGGCAGUAAGGGAUCCUCCAGAGGAUGGUCUAAUGGGCCUGAGAGGAAGGGUUCUUUCACACAGGGUUCCAUCUGCAUCAUGAUCUGGAGUUUGAUGGCCUCUAUGCAAGAAGAAACAAAUUUGGCUAAAAGAUGUAACACACAUGGUCCAAAAACCAGACUUGAGAAUACGACACGGAGACAGAAGAAAAACAGAAUCAGAAGCAAAGCUGGAUAAUGAAUGGAAAUAGAAGUGGACAGAAGUGGAGAAAGAUGAGAUAGAUCACCAGAGAAAAGAGCAGAGGAUACAGACUUCUGAGAAAUUUUGUGAAGACUUGUCAAGUUUU
rnacentral:lncRNA from 10 species